ACCAUUUCCGCAAAAUGGCACUGCAUCCCAAAGAAUGACAAAGUAAGAAAAGGGCCACAAUUACUUUUUAAGUUACUUCUGACUACAAUGCUUAUUGUGUCUUCAUAGAUAUCCACAGAGACAGACUGUUGUUUCCAAAUGUUUUACCUGGACUGAGGAUGUGAUGCACCAGGUUUAAACCUCUUGCAUGCCAUUGUGAAAAAUGUUUAGCCAGUACUGUUUUUCAUAUCUCUACAGUCCUGUGAUUUAUUUCUUUUAAUAGGCUCUAUUAAAUGGCGUCAUUGUAGCCCCUUACUAAAGUCCAGGGAGGACUUUAGCCAAGUCUUUCCAUCAUCCCCAUGUUGCUCUGUGGCAAGCAGUGAUGGGCUCUGAGCAUUUGGCAGAGAAGGUCUCAGGGUGUUUUCACAUAUACACUGUUUAGGUCGGCCCAAAUGACGUGUCGCUCUGAGUACGGUUCGUUUGGGUCAGUGUGAACACAACAGCCGCACUCGGGUGCGCACUAAACGGCCGCUCCGAGACCGCUCUAAACAGGUGGUCUCGAAGCAGCUGUCGCCGAACUCUGGGGCGACCCACCUGUGGUGUGAACACUGCUGGACCUCGGGCCGAACCAAAUACAGGAAGUCCUCCACAUGUUUGAGCCACUGGGCUUCCGUUGUGACGUGAGCAGGGUGUUAUAUUGUGGGUUAACAACAAACAAGCCAAUCCUGGUCCGUGGCAGAGAUUCGCAGUCUCCUUUACGUUUGAGCUGAUGAUUUUAUAAAUGCAUAGCUGUCCUCCACAGACAAAUAGUGACAUUACAGGCUUUUUAGCAAACGGCUUCGUGAGAAAAACUUUAAUAGAACAGCUAUCCCAAUUUCGCGUUAAAGCAAAGAAACUUUGAAAAGACGUGCAUCGUUUAUCUCCACAUCUUGAUAGCUGCGCUCUCCCUGUCAGGCUGGUUGUCGUGGAAACGUGGGGGUGGUCAUGAGACGGUAAGAGCUGUCAGAGACCAAUGACAGGGCUGACCGUUGUCACAUGGUGUACGGUGCGGCAUUUUGAGGACAGCAAAAAAUAUAUAUGUGAACACGGACCGCACUAACUGAAAAAUGAUACAAUGUAUUUUGGUGCCCUCCCAGGCCACACCACGGUACGCACCAACAUAUGUGAAAACAGCCUCAGGCAGUAGGCCUAACGGUACAUUCACACGGGGCGUAAGCGUUAACGCUUAACGGAAGGCUUGUCUGAAGUGUGGCCAACAGCCAAUCACUGUGGCCGCAACACAAGCUCCGGUCUUCCAUAAACGUAAUUGGCUGGCUCUGCCUAGGUUUUUUGCAUAAGGCGAUAUGAUUGGCUGACGCACGCGUUGCCGCUUGAAAAGUUGAGAAAUGUUCAACUUCUGCCAUUAAAAGUGAAUGGGAAGCGUCAACGCCCGUGAAUGCGCAGUAAGAGCGGAGCAGAGGUGUAUGCCAGUUUGGACUGGCCGUGUGUGAACUGGUUACUGCUGAGGGUGUAUACACUGUAAAACUUUUCUGUAAAUUUACAGCGAAUUUUCAAAAAACAGUGUUAGGCUUCAGUCACACCAAAAGCGCUUUAAACGCUUGCAAACGCAAGGCGCGACGCACUGCCUUUUUUAAAAAAAGAGCAGUGCGUCGCGGCUUUUCAUAUUGCUAAGCAACCACCGAGUCAGCUGUCUUGUCAAUCAAAUAUUGAAGCGUGAGCGCCCUUUUGCUGUUAACUGUCAUAUCAGCAGAAACUUUAAAAAGAGGACGCUUGCUCUGACCUUGUUUGAGGGUGAGAGGUGCACAAACACACAGGAGAGAGUGAGCGAGUGGUGUCCGGUUCUUCAAAGCAACUAAACUUCCCUCACCACAACGUAAGGCCCGCCUCUCCCCUCAUUCGAUUGGACAAUGGAAAGACACGAAUGACGUCGGGCGCUUCUCCGCUCUCAGCGCUCCUUCAAAAACGCGUGCGCGGCAGGCGGCAAAAAACCGCAAGGCGCUCGGCGCGCAUAAACAGCGCGCAAACGCGCCCUGCCCAUAGAAUAUCAUUCAAAAAAGGCGCCUGCAACUGCCAUAAACGCUAUUGGUGUGACUGGCCCCUUAGACUGUAUAUUUACAAAUAUUUACAGAAUGUCUGUAAAUUUACAGAAUUGUCCUGUUUUCAGCAUGCAAAAUUCGUAAUACAGAAUAAUACUGUAAAAGCAAUGCAUUGUGGGAUUGAUUUCCUUCGCACUCAAUAUUUGAAUGUAAGCAGAGCUAGUGCUUCGGAAGUUCGGACGCCCUUUAUUUGUUAGGAUUGGUUAUUCAUAUAAACAACGACGAUAUGAAGACAACGCGUUCAACUUUUAAUCUAUAGCUGCCUGUGAUGUGAAAACGUACACAGAACAAUUAAAAGUUACACGACGACGCGGCAGAAAUGAGAGGAUUAUGCAUGCAACAAGAAGACGGGGAGAAUACAAUGUGUCUGUGAUGAAGAUAAACGAAGAUUGACUGACUGUGCAUCAUUGACACGGUCCGUCUCUAAGCAGCCAGUGCUGGAUGUUGAGCAUGUACGGUCAGGUUGUGUGUGAAGGAGAGCAGCGCAACUUUUUCUCUGGUCUUGCAACGCUCAGAUUUGCCUCAUUCUACAAUUUUAACCUCCAGGAUCUGGAAGCGGUGGCAUGCACCCUUGGGUUUGUUCAGAGAUGAUUUCCCUACAUUAACCUGGAACGUGGAUCAAAGAUGAAGAAAGGGAAAAAGAACACUACAGUGAAUCCACAGGUUUCUACUCUUCUUAGAAAACUUACAGACUUAAAAAUGCAAUUUUGUUUAGACACUUCCACUAUCCAGUGUAGUUGAAUUAAAAGGAAAUAAAGUUUCCUACAUUGUUAAUGAUGUGCUGUUAAUUGAAAUACAAACGUACAGCUGGCAUUUCAUCCAAUAUGCUUAUGUUAAAGGGACACUUCACCCAUUUGCAUUAAGCUUUGUAUAGUUAGAACCCCACUCAUGUUUUUGAAUGGUCGUGCAUUAUUUCCUCAGUUUCCGCUGAGACAGGAGAAAUACAGAUUUCAGUGUUGCACUUCCUUCUUUCAAUGAUGUAAAAAUCAUCAUUUUGUAUCAUUGAAAGAAGGAAGUCCAAUAUCUUUGUUGAGGGGGUGAGACUAAAAACACCCCUUUUCUCGGUCAAAUAGGCACCAAAUUCGAAAUGUUUGUUACAUUUCGAGUAUGAAUAUGACGCACUUUCAAUAAAGAUUAAUGUUUCUAAGGGUGAAAUGCUCCUUUAAAGAAUUAAUCCACUUUUAAAAUGAUGCAAAAAAAAAGAAAG